UUUCUACUCCCUCCGUCCGAAAAUACUUGUCAUAAAAAUGGAUAAAAGAGAUGUAUCUAAAACUAAAAUACGUCUAGAUACAUUUCCUUUUAUCCAUUUUGAUGACAAGUAUUUCCGGACGAAGGGAGUAUUUG
rnacentral:pre_miRNA from 1 species